UCUCCUUUUCGUUCAGUGGUCAUCCAGUCGUGCUAGUGAGAGGUUACUAUCGCUUCUUGUUAAAGAGACUACUUCUUUUGGCAAACUAUGGGUGAUAACAGAAAAAGAGGCGUCACUGUUGUCAUUCUUUGGUAGUACUCAAGCAAGAAGCUGCGGCUAGAAGAUGACGUUAACACACUUCAUCUUGCUCUCCAACAACAGACGAUUCAUCACCAACAGCUCAGCCAAAAACUUCAACCAAUAGGUCUUCUAACCAGUCUGCUGUCGUUAUUGAAGAAAUACCUUCUACUAGCAUCGAUCCACCACAGUCAUCAGUCGAUGAACACCUAAUAUAUGAAUGACACCCUUGUCACAAUCCAAUAUUUGCUAAAAAGUCAUACAUUUUGGCCCAUUUCACCCUUACUUUGAGUACCUUGUAAUUGAGGGGAUAAAAUUACGCUCAGAAUGGUACCAAACAUAUAUUAUAUAACUUGAAUGCAGU